UCCAGACUCCUACGGGAGGCAGCAGUGGGGAAUAUUGCACAAUGGGGGAAACCCUGAUGCAGCGACGCCGCGUGGGCGACGAAGCGCUCCGGCGCGUAAAGCCCUGUCAGCAGGGAAGAACAAAGACAGUACCUGACCAAGAAGCCCCGGCUAACUACGUGCCAGCAGCCGCGGUAAUACGUAGGGGGCAAGCGUUAUCCGGAUUCACUGGGCGUAAAGGGAGCGCAGGCGGCACGGCAAGUCUGGUGUGAAAUACCGGGGCUCAACCCCGGGGCUGCAUUGGAAACUGGCAGGCUGGAGUGCCGGAGAGGCAGGCGGAAUUCCUAGUGUAGCGGUGAAAUGCGUAGAUAUUAGGAGGAACACCAGUGGCGAAGGCGGCCUGCUGGACGGUGACUGACGCUGAGGCUCGAAAGCGUGGGGAGCGAACAGGAUUAGAUACCCGGGUA
rnacentral:rRNA from 1 species